CCUACGGGAGGCAGCAGUGAGGAAUAUUGGUCAAUGGGCGAGAGCCUGAACCAGCCAAGUCGCGUGAGGGAGUACUGCCCUAUGGGUUGUAAACCUCUUUUGUCGGGGAGCAGUGGUCCGGACGCGUCCGGACCGGGAGAGUACCCGGAGAAAAAGCAUCGGCUAACUCCGUGCCAGCAGCCGCGGUAAUACGGAGGAUGCGAGCGUUAUCCGGAUUUAUUGGGUUUAAAGGGUGCGUAGGCGGGCAUUUAAGCCGGCGGUCAACGGUCGGGGCUCAACCCCGGCCAGCCGUCGGAACUGGGUGCCUUGAGUGGGCGAGAAGUAUGCGGAAUGCGUGGUGUAGCGGUGAAAUGCAUAGAUAUCACGCAGAACCCCGAUUGCGAAGGCAGCAUACCGGCGCCCUACUGACGCUGAGGCACGAAAGUGCGGGUAUCGAACAGGAUUAGAUACCCUUGUAGUC
rnacentral:rRNA from 1 species